GGGACACGUGGUAUCCUGUCUGAAUAUGGGGGGACCAUCCUCCAAGGCUAAAUACUCCUGACUGACCGAUAGUGAACCAGUACCGUGAGGGAAAGGCGAAAAGAACCCCGGCGAGGGGAGUGAAAAAGAACCUGAAACCGUGUACGUACAAGCAGUGGGAGCCUCUUUUAUGGGGUGACUGCGUACCUUUUGUAUAAUGGGUCAGCGACUUAUAUUCUGUAGCAAGGUUAACCGAAUAGGGGAGCCGAAGGGAAACCGAGUCUUAACUGGGCGUUAAGUUGCAGGGUAUAGACCCGAAACCCGGUGAUCUAGCCAUGGGCAGGUUGAAGGUUGGGUAACACUAACUGGAGGACCGAACCGACUAAUGUUGAAAAAUUAGCGGAUGACUUGUGGCUGGGGGUGAAAGGCCAAUCAAACCGGGAGAUAGCUGGUUCUCCCCGAAAGCUAUUUAGGUAGCGCCUCGUGAACUCAUCUCCGGGGGUAGAGCACUGUUUCGGCAAGGGGGUCAUCCCGACUUACCAACCCGAUGCAAACUGCGAAUACCGGAGAAUGUUAUCACGGGAGACACACGGCGGGUGCUAACGUCCGUCGUGAAGAGGGAAACAACCCAGACCGCCAGCUAAGGUCCCAAAGUCAUGGUUAAGUGGGAAACGAUGUGGGAAGGCCCAGACAGCCAGGAUGUUGGCUUAGAAGCAGCCAUCAUUUAAAGAAAGCGUAAUAGCUCACUGGUCGAGUCGGCCUGCGCGGAAGAUGUAACGGGGCUAAACCAUGCACCGAAGCUGCGGCAGCGACACUAUGUGUUGUUGGGUAGGGGAGCGU
rnacentral:rRNA from 1 species